rnacentral:snRNA from 1 species
AUGUUGACCCCGGCAGCAUAUAUACUAAAAUUGGGUGCAGAGAAGAUUAGCACAGCCCCUGCUCAGAAAUAACUCAAAAAUCUGUGAAGUGUUCCAUGUUUAA